GAUGAACGCUGGCGGCGUGCCUAAUACAUGCCAGUCGAGCGAACAGACGAUGAGCUUUCUCCUCUGACGUUAGCGGCGGACGGGUGAGUAACACGUGGAUAACCUACCUAUAAGACUGGGAUAACUUCGGGAAACCGGAGCUAAUACCAGAUAAUAUAUUGAACCGCAUGGUUCAAUAGUGAAAGACGGUUUUGCUGUCACUUAUAGCUGGAUCCGCGCCGGAUUAGCUAGUUGGUAAGGUAACGGCCUACCAAGGCAACGAUGCGUAGCCGACCUGAGAGGGUGAUCGGCCACACUGGAACUGAGACACGGUCCAGACUCCUACGGGAGGCAGCAGUAGGGAAUAUUCCGCAAUGGGCGAAAGCCUGACGCAGCAACGCCGCGUGAGUGAUGAAGGUCUUCGGAUCGUAAAACUCUGUUAUUAGGGAAGAAAAAAUGUGUAAGUAAAUAUGCACGUUUUGACGGUACCUAAUCAGAAAGCCACGGCUAACUACGUG
rnacentral:rRNA from 1 species